UUACACAUGCAAGUCGAGCGAUGAAACUCCUUCGGGAGUGGAUUAGCGGCGGACGGGUGAGUAACACGUGGGUAACCUACCUCAAAGAGGGGGAUAGCCUCCCGAAAGGGAGAUUAAUACCGCAUAAUAAUCAGUUUUCACAUGGGAAUUGAUUUAAAGGAGUAAUCCGCUUUGAGAUGGACCCGCGGCACAUUAGCUAGUUGGUAGGGUAACGGCCUACCAAGGCGACGAUGCGUAGCCGACCUGAGAGGGUGAUCGGCCACAUUGGAACUGAGAGACGGUCCAGACUCCUACGGGAGGCAGCAGUGGGGAAUAUUGCACAAUGGGCGAAAGCCUGAUGCAGCAACGCCGCGUGGGUGAAGAAGGUUUUCGGAUUGUAAAGCUCUGUCUUUGGGGACGAUAAUGACGGUACCCAAGGAGGAAGCCACGGCUAACUACGUGCCAGCAGCCGCGGUAAUACGUAGGUGGCAAGCGUUGUCCGGAAUUACUGGGCGUAAAAAGUGCGUAGGCGGAUAUUUAAGUGAGAUGUGAAAUACCCGGGCUUAACCCGGGCACUGCAUUUCAAACUGGAUAUCUAGAGUGCGGGAGAGGAGAAUGGAAUUCCUAGUGUAGCGGUGAAAUGCGUAGAGAUUAGGAAGAACACCAGUGGCGAAAGCGAUUCUCUGGACCGUAACUGACGCUGAGCACGAAAGCGUGGGUAGCAAACAGGAUUAGAUACCCUGGUAGUCCACGCCGUAAC
rnacentral:rRNA from 1 species